CGGGAUGGACGUACCUCUGGUGUACCAGUUGUCCUGCCAAGGGCAUGGCUGGGUAGCUAUGUGCGGAAUGGAUAAGCGCUGAAAGCAUCUAAGCGCGAAGCCAACUUCAAGAUAAGAUUUCCCACCGCAAGGGUAAGACCCCAGAAAGACUAUCUGGUUGAUAGGUCGAAGGUGUAAGUGCAGCAAUGUAUUUAGCUUAUCGAUACUAAUAGGUCGAGGACUUGACCAA
rnacentral:rRNA from 1 species